rnacentral:misc_RNA from 1 species
CCUUUUCAGGGAGACCUAACUUCAGUAUUUGGAGGUAGACUCAAACAGUCUACAAAAACAUCUCAACAACAAACUGAAGUCAUCCCAGGUCGAGCGAAGCAAUUGAGAUAGUGGCUUUCAAACUAUUACUAGGUUUACUUACGAUAAUAAACGAGUGGAAAAAUUCAGCAAGAGGCGAUUGUCAAACUGCUGGAUAACAAUCCAGUGAGAACCUUGAAAACUGCAUAGAGUCAAAAGUCAGGUCAGUCUGUAGAAGAAACAGACAAGGUCAAGCUAGAAAGGGCUGACGGUGGAUACCUAGGCACACAGAG